UACGUAGGGGGCAAGCGUUGUCCGGAUUUAUUGGGCGUAAAGAGCGUGUAGGCGGCCAUUCAGGUCAGCUGUGAAAACUCGAGGUUCAACCUCGAGACGUCGGUUGAAACCGUUUGGCUAGAGUCCGGAAGAGGAGAGUGGAAUUCCCGGUGUAGCGGUGAAAUGCGCAGAUAUCGGGAAGAACACCCGUGGCGAAGGCGGCUCUCUGGGACGGUACUGACGCUGAGACGCGAAAGCGUGGGGAGCGAACAGG
rnacentral:rRNA from 1 species